rnacentral:pre_miRNA from 2 species
AGUUUUGCAGGUUUGCAUCCCAGCUUACUAAAAUUGCUGUGCAAAUCCAUGCAAAACUGA